UACAGAGGGUGCGAGCGUUAAUCGGAAUUACUGGGCGUAAAGCGCGCGUAGGCGGCUUUGCAAGUCGAGUGUGAAUCCCCAGGCUCAACUUGGGAACUGCGUCUGAUACUGGUUGGCUUGAAUUCGGGAGAGGGAUGCAGAAUUCCAGGUGUGAGCGGUGAAAUGCGUAGAGUAUCUGGAGGAAUACCGGUGGCGAAGGCGGCAUC
rnacentral:rRNA from 1 species